UCAAAUUAGAGAAAAAUGUAUGAUAAAAAAGUUUUUUGAUUUAGAAACAUCUAUUAUGAUUUCACAAUUUUGUAAUUGUUAACAACAUUUUAGGGCGGUUUUGGGGGGUCAACUUUAUAAAUUCAAAUAGAAACCUAUACUUUUUUUGCAAUCAUAAUGUGGGGGAAUUUUUUUAAUGAAUUUUAGUGAAUGAACAACAUUAAUUAAUGCAAAGCUCUAUGCUUGAGAGCUAUUUACAAAUUUUAGAAAUUGCAAUAAAUUGACCCCAUGCCAACAAGUAGGUAGCUAAUAGUGUCACUACUAUCAACUCGUUUACAACUACUGUCAUACCCGUUAACCUAUUCAUAGAAAAAAGAGAUAAACCACUGCACUAUCAAUCGUCAACCACCUCGUAAGCAUUAAUCAUACUCAAAAGGUGAUAUCCUUAAUAUAACUUAUAAUGAGUAAUGACCAUUGACCGAUAAGCAGAAUAUUGUUCGUUUCGAAUAUCGAUAAGUACCUACGAGUGGCAGCGAUUACUACAGAACCCACGGCUUAUAAUAUCUAUGCUUAUUACCUUUUGAUAUAACUUCACACAGUGAUACCGCAAAAUAAAUUAAAUUAAGUUAAUUCUGUGGUCACUGGUCACACUAAAAAGCUAACCUUAAACUGUUUCAUUGUUGUAUUCUAAAUUCUAAUAUAAUAUGAUAACUGAUAAGUAUUCAAAUAUUUAAUAUUGUAUAUUGUAUAAGACUCACCAUCGCAUAUUCGCAAUCCGUAUAACUUAAAUUUGAAUUUGAAAAUAUAUGUAAUAAAUAAUAUGUGAAAAUGCGUUUUUUAUAAUACUGUAAUUUUUAAAGUAUUUCAUUUAUAAAUAAUCCAAUUUAAAAUAUGCUAUAAUUACUGGUAUUAUGCAAGCAAAUUGGAUACUUGGUUACUAUAGAAUACUUUUGCAACAUUUUUGGUAAGUUUCCUUGAAAUUGAGCAGUUAAAAAUCAAUGAAUAUUUAUUAAGAUUAUAACCUUAUGCUUUAUAAUCUGUUUUUCUUUUAGUCGAAUCUGUUAUUCUGGAUAAAAUACAAUUUUUAUUUAAAUAUUGUACCUAUACAUAUGGAUCACUUAAAUUGUCUGUUGCUUGCGGAGAAAAUGUGUCACUUGCACAGUUGUACAGUAAGAAACAACACUUCAUAAAGAGUGAUAGGUUUCUGGUUAUUUACAAGCAAACACAGUUAUAGAAAAAAAUACCAGUGAAGCAAGUAUGAGUGUUUUAUUAUACAAUAUUCAUUGAAAAAUAACAUAAUCAAGCUACAUAAUAAUACAAUACAAACACCCAAGACAACAGACAUCUUGGACACUGUCUAUAAGAAUUAUUAUUUUAAUAUUUCCUAUUCAAAUUCUGGGGAUUCUACAUUUCAAUACAAAUAUAACCCAGAUUUCAAUAAGCAAGUUUCAACACAAAUUUUCAAAAUAUGCAUUGAUAUAAUGAAAAAUAAUAAUACUUUAUUUUCAUGAUAUAUUAAUUAUGGAUUGACAAUAGAAUAAAAUAACUAGUAAAUUUAAAGUUAACUCAUCAAAAUAAAAUUCUCACACACAAAACCUACAAUUGCAAACAAAUGAUUUGGAAAGACACCUUGAACAUGUUAGACUGGUGAAUGUGAUACAAAUUUUUCUUCAACAUUAUAUGGGAAAAACAAAAUUUCAUAAUAAUGGGCAGGUUCAAUCAAAUCAAGAUAACUUACUUUUACCUUUGACAAAAUUUUAGUUGAUAAUUAAUUUUAUAUAUUUAAAAUGUGUAACUAAAUAUUGAAGCAUUAUUAUAAUAACUAUUUCUUAUAAGUAGGGCUAAGAGUUUUUUUUUUUUUUAAUACUAAUAUUGUUUGUUUAACUUUGAUGUUCAAACAAUUUCAUCUUAUACCUAAUCUAACACUUAAUAAAAAAAAAUAAUAAGUAAUAAAGAUAGUAAUAAAGACUGAAGUCAUGAUAAAAGAUAUAUGAAAAGCUUAUAUUUUAUAGUAAAAAUCAAUGAUUUUUAAAUGAUAAUUAUAAUUUAACUCUUAAAAUUAAUAAGUAAAAUAGUCAAGAUUAAAGACAUUUACAAAAAUAUAGAUUUUAGAGCAACAAUUAAUAGUUUCUUAAAUAUUAAAAAUCUCUAGCCCUAUUUAUAUAUUGUAUUAUAGAAUUAUUAAAAAUGUACUUUAAUUUGUAUGAUCUUAUCUAGGAUUUUGGAUAUGUUCAUUUUUGAUAUUUUUUAUUAGUUUUGGUCUUACCCGAAUUUUGUUAUAAUUAGCAUUAUGGAAAUUUGGCCGAAAUCUACUAAAGAUCUCAAUUAUCGAUGUGUUCAUUAUCUUUGAUAAGUUAAUAUUAAAUUAAAGUCCAUUGUUCGGUUAUUUUCUAAGAUCGUAUAUGGUCUAUUCACACAAGUAAGAUAAUGUUAAGAAUAACGAUUUGUUGUACAAUUUAUUUUUACAUAAUAUAAAUUACUAUGUAUUUAUAAUAAGUGUUCAAAUUGUCUUCCUCUUUGAUUAAAACAUAUAUUUAAUCUUUUUUGGAAGUUA